rnacentral:rRNA from 1 species
CACGUAGGGCGCAGGCGUUGUCCGGAAUUACUGGGCGUAAAGCGCGCGUAGGCGGUUUUCCAAGUCGGGCGUGAAAGCCCCGGGCUCAACCCGGGAAAUGCGCUCGAAACUUGAAGACUGGAGGCCGGAAGAGGGUAGUGGAAUUCCCAGUGUAGAGGUGAAAUUCGUAGAUAUUGGGAAGAACACCAGUGGCGAAGGCGGCUACCUGGUCCGGAUCUGACGCUGAGGCGCGAAAGCGUGGGGAGCAAACAGG